AUUGAACGCUGGCGGCAUGCCUAACACAUGCAAGUCGAACGAGUGGCGGACGGGUGGGUAAUGUCUGGGAAACUGCCCGAUGGAGGGGGAUAACUACUGGAAACGGUAGCUACUACCGCAUACCAUCGGAUGUGCCCAGAUGGGUUUUGGUAGUAGGUGGGGUAACGGCUCACCUAGGCGACGAUCCCUAGCUGGUCUGAGAGGCUGACCAGCCACACUGGAACUGAGACACGGUCCAGACUCCUACGGGAGGCAGCAGUGGGGAAUAUUGGACAAUGGGCGCAAGUCUGAGGCAGCCAUGCCGCGUGUAUGAAGAAGGCCUUCGGGUGGUAAAGUACUUUCAGCGAGGAGGCGUUACUCGAAGAAGAAGCACCGGCUAACUCCGUGCCAGCAGCCGCGGUAAUUC
rnacentral:rRNA from 1 species